rnacentral:rRNA from 1 species
GACGAACGCUGGCGGCGUGCUUAACACAUGCAAGUCGAACGGAAAGGCCCUGCUUUUGUGGGGUGCUCGAGUGGCGAACGGGUGAGUAACACGUGAGUAACCUGUCCUUGACUUUGGGAUAACUUCAGGAAACUGGGGCUAAUACCGGAUAGGAGCUCCUUCUGCAUGGUGGGGGUUGGAAAGUUUCGGCGGUUGGGGAUGGACGCGCGGCUUAUCAGCUUGUUGGUGGGGUGGUGGCUUACCAAGGCUUUGACGGGUAGCCGGCCUGAGAGGGUGACCGGCCACAUUGGGACUGAGAUACGGCCCAGACUCCUACGGGAGGCAGCAGUGGGGAAUAUUGCACAAUGGGCGGAAGCCUGAUGCAGCAACGCCGCGUGCGGGAUGACGGCCUUCGGGUUGUAAACCGCUUUCGCCUGUGACGAAGCGUGAGUGACGGUAAUGGGUAAAGAAGCACCGGCUAACUACGUG